rnacentral:tRNA from 1 species
UUGUCUGUAGUGCUAGUUGGUAAAGGAAGCACUCUUGUUGCUGAGGUUGUGAGUUCAAAUCUCACCAGGCAAA